CCUUCCUUCCUUCCUUCCUCCCUCCCUCCCUUCCUUCUUUCCCUUUUUCCUUUUCCCCCUUUCUUCUCUCCUUCUCCUUGUUUUCUUCCUUUUUUCCCUUUCUUGCCUCCUUCUCUGUUUCUUUCUCUCUCUCUGUUUCCCCCUUCUUUCCCCUCUCUCUUUUCCUCUUUUUCUUUUAGGAAAUUCAACAAUCUGAUAGACUUAUCUAUCAUCAGGUUAAGAAUGAUGGACUCAUUGAACUGUUGGCUUCAUACACAGAUUAUUUAUCAUGGAGAACAAAAUUAUGUGCUUUUGUACGAAAGGGAAGAAGAAACAAUAACAGGCCUAGGGAAACAAUAGGACCACAUAGAACUAAUGCCUACAUUGCUGUGAUCUGAGGAGUGACCAAAACCCCAAAGCUAAGAGGACUUCAAAGAUAACAACUUCAAAGCACCUGAGUUUUCAAACUGGAUAUAAUGUCUGGGGUGAUCUGGCAGAUUUUGAAAGGAUAACAUUCUGCCUGAGUUAUGAUAAGACUUCAUAAAGAUUUAUGUGUUUCUUGAAGUUUAUGAUUUGUAUAUUUCCUUCAUCUUUCCUUUCACUUGUUGUUAUAAAUUGCAGCUGUUAUUGUAUGCAUUUUUAAAGGAAUGUGUGUUAUAUAUUUUCCUGCUACAGGCUGUUUGGAUGCCUUCAAUCCAUGAAAUGUGUUCAGAUCUUGAAAAAUUAAUAACAGGAAGAGAUUCGUUAGAAAAUAGAAAAACAUUAAAUUAUAGCACGUGGUGUUAGUAUCAUUGAGCAUCAGGAAAUGAUAGUUCAAUGUUAAAAAUCGCUAUAAGACUGAAUUUUAUUCUUAGUAUAAUAUGUUUCUCUGACUGAAGUGGACCUGGGAAUUAAAAAAAAAAAAAUGAGGGAAUUGAACAAACAUCCAGAAGUAAAUCUCUUAAAAUCAGAGAGGGGAAAAUCCCAAGCAAGUGAACAUUGACAAAAAUAAAAUAAAAUUUAAAAAUUGCUAAAUUUCUUUGAGAAUUUGAUAUAACCUCUAUGUCAUGAGUAAUGUCAUCAAAUGUAUCUUAUAGGUUAACCUAAGGCAAAUUGCUUAACUAAAUUUCUUUAAAGAUUAAAUAGUUUUGACUCAUGUUAAAAUAUCUACUUUUGAUGUAAAUAAAUGAUUCAAUUUAUUCUUGUUACUUAUAAUGAAAGCCAGUACAUUUUGUUUUUGAAUCAGUAUAAAGCAUUAUGAAGCAAUCUUAAGCAUUUAGCACAAUUGUUAGUUUUCGAAAAGUUGUACUUGGAGUGAGAACAUGAAUGUAGAGAGCUGGAGAAGGAACUAGAAUUAUGUCUGCUACUUUUCUGACCUGGAUUAUCUUAUAUCCACAGUAUCACUAUGGGGUAAUGGGGAUAGAUAAAGUUGUUAUAAGAUUAUUUCCAUAAAAAAAUUAGAAUCCUUGAAAAAAAGCCAUUCCAAAAAGUGAAAUUCUUAGCAUUUGUAUGCAAUUGUCCAUUCUUACUUACAAAAAAUAAAUUUAAUAUAAAAUUUUCUGUCUGAAGUAUUCAUUCCUUUGCAAUUUUAAUUAUGUAUCUCUUAAAUCAACUAUAAAACAUGAAUGUGCAUGAAGUCCACUUUAAAUUAACACUCAAAAAUAUCUAAC
rnacentral:lncRNA from 1 species